rnacentral:snoRNA from 1 species
UGGACCAAGGGUGAUAAUGUGUCAUGAACCAAGAUGAUGGUUGAUCAAGUUCUCUUUACUUUAAUUCCAAA